GGCCGCUCGCUCUCUGCUCUCUGCUCCUGUGCGUGUUAGAUCUGUCCAACAGGAGGAGCAGCUGCGUUCUGCCGCUUCCACGCACACACAAACACGCAGAGGCGCGCGCGCGCGCUCUUAACGCAGCGCCGGGGAGCGGAGAGAAGCGGACGACGGGACGCGCCUCUCUUCUCCUCAUUCCCCCCCCCAGCGACCGGGAAGAGACGCUCACCAUGAUUCCCUCCCUGGAAAUCAGGACUUAACUUUGCUGCCUCCCCCCCAACUAUUUGACAUUUUGACGCGCUCGGGACAGGAGGAUUCCUACUUGAGCCGCGAGCUCCUUUUUGCUUCGUCCGCCCGCGCGCGGACUCCGUGACCAUGGUGACCAAAGCGGGGCUCCUCGCGCUCCUCCUGUGGGGCUCCGUGUCCGGGGGGCCCCACGCCGCCCCGCAGCGCUCCCACUCGCCAGCUCUGGAUUUCGGCUUCGUUCCCGCGGGAGUGUACGAGACGCACGCGUACUUCGAACCCGGAGCCAUGGGGAUCCUGUUCCACAUGGUGCGCGCCUUCCUCUACGUGGUGCAGCCUAACCCGUUCCCCCGAGAUCUCAUCACCAAGCUAGCCAAAGAAAACAUUGGAGCGAAGCAAGCGCAAUAUCAGAAGCCAGAGAACGUUGUUCUGGCGCUCCAGGCCAUCUACUACGAGAUGGGCUUUGUGGUGUGCGCGGUGCUGGGCGUGUUCUUCGUUCUGCUCGUGCCGCUGGUCGGCCUGUGCUUCUGCAUGUGUCGCUGCUGCGACAACUGCGGCGGCGAGAUGCACCAGCGCCAGAGGAAGAACGCCGAGUGCCAGCGAGGCUUCCUCGCCACCAUGCUCGUCGCCACCUCGCUCAUCAUCACCGCGGGAGUCCUGUGUGCAUCCGCCGCCAAUCAAAACCUCAGCAACCAGCUGAAACACACUCGCAGACUGGUCAACAGCAACAUGAGGGAUCUGAAGAUGUUCGCCAACGACACUCCAGCGCAAAUUGACUACCUUACAGCGCAGUACGUCAUGGCCAAGAACAGAGUCCUCUCUGACUUAGACAAUAUUGGACCGCUGCUUGGCAGUAAAAUACACGAGCAGCUCGGAAAAGAAGUCCUUCCUGCUCUCGACGCAGCGCUGAGCAUGGCUGGAGCCAUGCGGGAGACCAAGGAGGCGCUGGAGAACGUGAGCACGGCCCUAGAAACCCUGCAGGACGGCACAGACCGGCUCCAGGCAGACCUCGUCGGCGUCAGGUCCAGCCUCAGCAACACCCUGAGCGACCCGGCCUGCUCCAACGGCGCCGUCUCCUACACUUGCAGUGCCAUCCGCAGCACACUCGGCCAGCUCAGCAUCAGCGCAAACUUCUCCGGGCUGCCAGAUAUCAGCGAACAGCUCGCAAAUGUGGACAGCGUUCUUAAGGUUGACCUGAGCAACAUUGUCCAGAAGGGCUACUCAUCAUUUAACGACACGCCUGCCAUGGUGAGAGAGCAAACGAGAACCGUCGUUUCAGGGCUCAAGGGCAUGCUGGACGGCAUUGGCGCCAACAUCACGAGCUUCUCCAGGAUGUUUCCCAUACAUGCCUCCAUGGCCAACUUCACCAUCUUCCUCACCGAGAACCAGAUGAAAAUUGAAGUCUUCUACCCACAGAUUGACCAGAUGGACUUCUACAGGUGGAUCGGCUGCAUUGCCCUGUGCUGCCUUGUCGUGCUCAUCUUGACCUUCAACUGCCUGGGCUUGCUCUGCGGCCACUGUGGCUACGACAAACACGCGUCGCCCACCACCCGUGGCUGCCUCUCCAACACGGGGGGCAACCUGCUCAUGGCUGGUGCAGGCUUCAGCUUCAUCUUCUCCUGGGUGCUCAUGGCGGUGGUGACGGCCACCUUCGUCGUUGGGGGAAAUGUGGAAAAACUGGUCUGCGAGCCCUUUGAAAACAGACAGCUGUUCAAGCUCAUAGACACCCCGUACCUGGUCAACCCAGGCUUGAAGAACUUCCUCCCUGGGAUGCUGUUCCAGAACCCGCAGAUUGACCUGACCCUGGAAAGUUUCUACAGAAGCUGCAAAGACAAUAAGGGCCUUUAUGCAGCGCUGAAGCUGGACAACAUUUUCAAUGUGAACAAGUUCUUAAACUCCAGUGUGUACACCAAGGACGUUGCGAGGGUUUUUGAAGAUGUGAAGGUGGACUUGAAAGGCAUAGUCCUGCUGGAGCGAGCAGGAAGGGAGAAUCUCAUUGAUUUUUCCAACACUGGUAUCAGCGAGAUCAACUACGCCGCAUUCUUGGCUGAGGUCAAUAAAGGUGUAACAGUUGUGGAUCUCUUGGCGUUUGCAAAUGAGCUGGAGGCUCGGGCAGACCAGCUGCCGCGGGGGGCACUGGAGAACGCCCUGAAGGGCCACGCCAGCAGCAUCCGGCAGAUCCACGCCCAGCAGGUGGUUCCUAUGGAGCAGGCAAUGAAAUUUGUUAGAGCGAGGAGCACUCUGAGCCAGAGCAUCCGGCUGCUCCAGAGAACAGCCGCCGAGCUCCCUGACAAGAUCGACAAUGUACUAAGUGCAAUUGAUGCAGCGGAAUAUUUAAUUACCCACAAUGCAUCACAUGUGGUCAAGCAGGAAACCUCAAAAUACAUGCAGAAUAUUGCUAGCUAUUUCACACAGUACAUCGACUGGGUGAAGAUGUCGCUCUCGACUGAUGUGGCAGCCUGCAAGCCCUUCAGCAAUAUCGUGGACACCGCAGACAUAGUGGCCUGCAGCUUCAUAGUGGACUCGAUGAACACGUUCUGGUUCGGUCUGGGCUGCUGCACGGUGUUCCUCAUCCCCAACAUCAUACUGUCCGUGAGACUGGCCAAAUUCUACCGCCGCAUGGACACGGAGGACGUGUAUGACGAUGUGGCAAUACCGAUGAAAAUUAUGGAAAUUGGUAUUAAUGGUUAUCAUAAUGAGCGUUUUCAGGGUAUUCACAACCCUGUAAUGGCCAGCGUCCCCACCUAUGACACGAUGACUAGAUUCCCGCGGGCUUCGGCACCUCCCCGGCACGCGGAUUGGUGAGACCGUAGCGGGUUGUACCGGGUCCAGCCAGUACUGUGGAAGGCUGGAACUAAAGUAUUCUUCAUGAACUUCCAGUUCCCAUACUUUGGACAGGAGAUGAGCGUGAAAGAGUUCCACAAAACAGAAGAUGACUGACAAAGGACCGCGUUAUCUUGCCUCCACGCUCUUAUGUCCACAGCCUCUCCCUUCACCGUAUGCUCUGUCUCAUCACUGGACAUUCAUUGGCACCUGCCCAAACCCUGCUAUUAGUCAUGUCAUACAGAAAGAAAAAAAAAAAUACAAAAAUUGUGGAAACAUCUGUAAUUCUUAAGGAUUUUUUUCCAGUUGUGAUUUUUAUAUUCACAGUAACAAAACUUGAAGCUGACCAGAAUCUCACUUUUACAGCAGCCGCCACUAGCAACAGUCCUCAUCUGUGCAGUCCAGAAACACAAGAGAUGUACGUUUUUGUAUUAUUUCAAAUCUUUCAACGUUUUCUACAUAUUUUCUAAAAUGUUUCUUUUAUAUACCAUGUCCUUAGUUUUUAUUCUUUUCACUGCGUGCAUCCUUGCUAUUUGACAUACAGCUGUAAUAUUGCCAUAUAGCUUCUAGUCAUGUAUAAAGUGCACAGAUUUUACAGUGUUGGGUCAGUGGGAGCGUGGAGAUCUACUACAGUAGAUGGUAUUUCUGUCACAGUAAAACAAAUACAGCUUAUGCGUUUCCAAGCAAUGCAAGUGAACCAAUGACUUUUGCUUAGGUCUGCUGUCACUCUUGUGUCUACAUUAUAAAAAUUAAAACUAAGAAUUUACUUGUCAAUAAACUGUACUGAACCUAAAACGCAAUUUGUGCUCAUGUCCAAGUUGGGUUCAAAGCGUAUAGAUCAGAGAUGAUUAUUGCCUUUACUCCAAUACUAUUAUAAUGUUGUUAUUAAAAUAAUAUGAGGACCCUUUUGGUUAUGACAGAAAAGUCUAGAAAUAUGUUUUAUCAUUAAAUGACAAAAAAUAAACAUUCCUGACAAACUGUCAGGUGGUUUUUAUGUUCCAUGUCAUGACAGUUAGAAGAUGAAAUGAAUACAAAUAUAAUUUUAGGUGUAGAUUCACUGACAAAUUUUCAUCAUUAUUAUAAUCGACCAUACUUACCUACUGUUUAUUAACUUAUUUUGGGGCUAUAGUACUACCCAGAUAUAACAACAGAGGACACUCUGAAGCCAAAAGCUGUUUGUAUCAUAGAUCUCAGGUCUUUGGACUUAAAUUAGGUGCUCAGAUAAUAACUAUAACAACUCGUCACAUUUUUGUACGUCACCUUAAUAGUGAAAGUUUGGAACUACAAUAAGGAGCAAAAGCUUUGUAAAGAAGACCUGAGAGAUUUGUUUUGAACAAACUGUAUGGAGAACACAUCCACCGCUCGCCCAAAAAACAAGCCAUUCGAGUUAAACCACAGCAAAGAUAUUAAGCAGGUAAACUUUUUACAUUCGGUUUGUGAUCCGUGCGUCCUCCUCCUGUCGGCGUUGGUUGUGGAAGGAUCACCUGCAGGAUAUGCGUAUGCCAUACAGUGUUGUAUUGAGUGCUGAAAACUACUCUUUGCCAUUUCUAACCAGUAUAAGUCCGUAAAUGAUUGUUAUGAUGUUUGGUGUAUUGAGGGUUGAACUGCCUGUGAAUUAACUCCCACUGGAAAUGUAUACCACUGGAUAACUG